rnacentral:rRNA from 1 species
GACGAACGCUGGCGGCGUGCUUAACACAUGCAAGUCGAACGGAAAGGCCCUGCUUUUGUGGGGUGCUCGAGUGGCGAACGGGUGAGUAACACGUGAGUAACCUGCCCUUGACUUUGGGAUAACUUCAGGAAACUGGGGCUAAUACCGGAUAGGAGCUCCUGCUGCAUGGUGGGGGUUGGAAAGUUUCGGCGGUUGGGGAUGGACUCGCGGCUUAUGAGCUUGUUGGUGGGGUAGUGGCUUACCAAGGCUUUGACGGGUAGCCGGCCUGAGAGGGUGACCGGCCACAUUGGGACUGAGGUACGGCCCAGACGCCUACGGGAGGCAGCAGUGGGGAAUAUUGCACAAUGGGCGGAAGCCGGAUGCAGCAACGCCGCGUGCGGGAUGACGGCCUUCGGGUUGUAAACCGCUUUCGCCUGUGACGAAGCGUGAGUGACGGUAAUGGGUAAAGAAGCACCGGCUAACUACGUG